CAGAAGUAAUGAUGGCAUAGAGCGAAGAAGGGGAAAUCAAGGCUGAAUGUCAGGAGAAGUGUCCCGACGAUUAGAUGCAUUAGGGUACGGAACAGCAGCCCAAAGGAAGUGUCACUGCUUGGGACUUUUAAGAUGGGUGGACAAAAGCACUAGAAAACAUCCCGGAUAGCAGCGGAAAAAACUGGUUGGAUGAUGCAUCCCGUAUUUUCCUUGUCAUCAUUUCGCUGCCACAACACUGAGGUGCAGUGCAAGUUCACUCGCAACUCACUGCAUAGCAAGCAUUACAGAAAAUGAACAUUUGAGCUCGGAUCGAUAUAUCCCCCAAGAACUCUCACCCGGCAGAAACAGAUGUAGCCUGCCCCCUAGUCCCAUCUGUUCACACUGGAGAACCACCACGCAAUCUGGCACACACAGAAAUCUCUGCUCAAGAUAGAGUCUGGACGGGAAUAGCUAGAUCGUUUGCAGGUCAGGACGGAGACACGCUGGCAAGGCUGUGUGGGAAGCUUGCAUAGCAUCUGCUAGUCCAGCGUCUGGCUCAAUUCAGUGCUAUCACACGCUUAAUUCAACAGCAGAGUUAGACAAAAAUAAAGAACCUGUGAGAUAUACGCUUCACUCUGCCAAGUCUCUCCACUGAUGCAGGAACUGCAGAGAUGCUUCUCCCUCUCCCCAGCAAGAACCUCCACCCUUUCCCUGUCUUCCACCACACACAUACCCACACCCCUUCCUGUCCACUCCUCCUCUGAUACCUCUCUUAUUUUAGCAGCUGUUUCAGCGGUCAGAGCUACUCUAGGACAACAGCACUACAAGGAGCCCAGGAAGUGCUUUGGUCAUGUAAGGCAAGAGGAAGCCAUGUGUCUGAGCGCACAGCAUGCUGGACCGUCUUGCAGAAGAGGUGGGCUUUAUUCUGCUGGCUGACUUUGAGCAUCUUCCCCUUGGUUGAAGUGAAGGGGAAUACUGACCUCCUGUGUAAACUGCUUUGAGAUCCAUUGAUGAAAAGUGCUGCAUAAAAAAUAUUAAACUUUACAUAUAACGAGUACAGGGACAACCAGCAUGUAAGUGUGAACCAGCUGCAGUCAGCUGUCUCACCAUGCAAUCUGUGCAGGUACUUCCAGACCACAGCUGAGUCCCAAUGAAGAAUAGAGGACUCCAUGGGGGAGUGCACAAGGCCUAUGGUUUUUGCUGGUGUGGAACCCUUUGCAUAACUGUGGACUACAUCUUUUAACUUCUUCUUAUCAUUUAGAUUAUCAGAAGAAGGUCUCAUUUCUGUUUGUGAACAAGCUGCUUCUACCAAAUCAAUAAUAGUCUUUGUGUCAAUCCAGGAUAACAAGGUAAUAAAUACAUUAGACAUACCGAUGUUAAAUCAGAAAAAUAUGGAUUACAGAGGUGGAUUUGCUGACCAUGGUGUGGAGCUGGGGACUAACAGGUGCCAUCCAGAACAACACUAUAAUCCGCUUUGUUUUGCAGCUAAUUAUUAUAACUUUUUUUCACUG